rnacentral:rRNA from 1 species
AUACGUAGGGUGCAAGCGUUAAUCGAAAUUACUGGGCGUAAAGCGUGCGCAGGCGGUUUUGUAAGGCAGUGGUGAAAUCCCCGGGCUCAACCUGGGAACUGCCAUUGGUACUGCAAGGCUGGAGUGCGGCAGAGGGGGAUGGGAUUCCGCGUGUAGCAGUGACAUGCGUAGAUAUGCGGAGGAACACCGAUGGCGAAGGCAAUCCCCUGGGCCUGCACUGACGCUCAUGCACGAAAGCGUGGGGAGCAAACAGGAUUAGAUACCCUGGUAGUCCACGCCCUAAACGAUGUCAGCUGGUUGUUGGGGAUUUAUUUUCUCAGUAACGAAGCUAACGCGUGAAGUUGACCGCCUGGGGAGUACGGCCGCAAGGUUAAAACUCAAAUGAAUUGACGGGG